CAGAAGCCUCUGAGACACCGCAGAUGUGGGGUGGCUCACUUCCUAGGAGGAAGAGCAGGAGGAGGCUCCGAGGACAAGGAGCAGGGGGAAGGCUGUGGUCAUCCACUUGUCCGAGUCCCUCUGUGGAGGUCGGAGGACUUCCAGGUGGAUCCGUUGAGGGACACAGGCAGGAGCAGGGGAAAAGAGAACGACAAGGCAGGCGGAGGUGUGUUGGGGAGUGGAGUGCGACUGGUUGCAUCGUCUGGGGUCCAGUUGAGAUGGAAAUGCGGGCUCCUCGCUCAACACAAAUGUCAAGACGUCAGAGCAUCAAACCGCAUCACAGACUCUGGCCUCCAGGAGGAACUCUUUGACACAUAUAUGGCAACUAAACCAUCAGCAGAAGUUUGCUUGGGUUUUCUGGGACACCACUGUUGAAGAGGAAUCUUAUGAAAACCAUAGAUUCAAGACACAGGCAUAACUUGAAAUUUUCUAACAGCUACAUACAAAAUUUGAAAGGAACAGAUUAAGUUAAUUAAAUUCAUUUUUAGAAUAUAUUUCAUUUAUCUAAUGUAUUAAUAAUAUUAUCAUUUCAAAAUGUAAUUGAUAGCAACAUAAUUGAGACUUUUACAGUGAGUUUUGUGAGUCCUAAGACUGGAACCUGGUGGGUAUUUAACUUUACUCCUCUAUCCCAUUUGGAUUAGUCGCAUUUCAGAUGCUCAGGGGUGACUGUGGCUGGUGGCCCCCCCAGGUGGGGAACAGAUGUCCGAUAUUAGGGGGGAAGUGUUACAAAACAGGGACUACAGCCUCCCUUGCUUGUUACCCAUCUCAAGGGGAUGCUUGGAACAUUUUACCAUCAAGUAGGAUACUUGCUAGAGGUUUUGUUUUGUUUUUGCAGAUGCCAGGAUAAAGACAUUCCCUGGAUUCCUAGUUUGCUAGGAUUUUAAUAACAUAACAGAUGCUGGCUUUUUCCUGGAACUAUGGAGAUGAUAUGUCUUCCACCUCUGAUCUUCUAAUGUGGUGAAACACCCUGACUGAGCUAGUUUGUCGCCUCCCCGCCCCGUGUUGGGGAUUGAACUCAGGGGUGCUUUACCACUGAGCUGUAUCCCCAGCUGCCCUCCCCCUCCUCCUCCUCCUCCUCCUUUUUCUGUCUUAGGGUAGGGUUUUUCCUACCCAGUUGCCCAGGCUGGUCUUGAACUUGUGAUCAGCCUCCCAAAUCAGUGCUUGAGGCACUGCUCCUAGUUUAAAUUGAUUUUCAAAGUUAAACCAGCCUAAUUUUAUCACAAAGUAUUAUCACUUUUUAUAUACUGCCAGGUUUGAUUUGCUAAUGCUUUCAGAUUUUUUUUGUAUCUUUCUUCAUGAGUAACACUGGUCUAUAAUUUUCCUUUUUUGUACUGUACUUGUCAUACAAAGAAUUAGGAGGAAUUCCUCUUCCUCUUAUGUGGGGAUGUUGGGGUUAAGACUGGAAUGAUUUCUUUUUAAAAUAAACCACAGGUGAAGCCCU
rnacentral:lncRNA from 1 species